rnacentral:rRNA from 1 species
UUGGAGGGCAAGUCUGGUGCCAGCAGCCGCGGUAAUUCCAGCUCCAAUAGCGUAUAUUAAAGUUGUUGCAGUUAAAAAGCUCGUAGUUGAACUUCGGGAUCAAUGAGUUGGUCGUGCCAUUGGUAUGAACUGGCUUUAUUGGUUCUCACCUUCUAAUGAACCAUAAUGUCAUUCAUUUGAUGUUUUGGGGAAUCAGGACUGUUACCUUGAAAAAAUUAGAGUGUUUAAAGCAGGCUCACGCUUGAAUACAUUAGCAUGGAAUAAUGAAAUAGGACAUCGCAUUCUAUUUUGUUGGUUUCUAGGAUCGAUGUAAUGAUUAAUAGGGAUAGUUGGGGGCAUUAGUAUUCAAUUGUCAGAGGUGAAAUUCUUGGAUUUAUUGAAGACUAACUACUGCGAAAGCAUUUGCCAAGGAUGUUUUCAUUAAUCAAGAACGAAAGUUAGGGGAUCGAAGACGAUCAGAUACCGUCGUAGUCUUAACCAUAAACUAUGCCGACUAGGGAUCGGAUGAUGUUGAUUUUUUAAUGACUCAUUCGGCGCCUUACGGGAAAC